AUUGAACGCUGGCGGCAGGCCUAACACAUGCAAGUCGAGCGAGCGGCGGACGGGUGAGUAAUGUAUGGGGCUCUGCGCGAUAGAGGGGGAUAACUACUGGAAACGGUGGCUAAUACCGCAUACUAUCGUAUGAAACCAUAUGGGAUUAGCUAGUAGGUGGGGGAAAGGCUCACCUAGGAGACUAUCUCUAGCUGGUCUGAGAGGAUGACCAGCCACACUGGAACUGAGACACGGCCCAGACUCCUACGUGAGGCAGCAGUGGGGAAUAUUGCGCAAUGGGGGAAACCCUGACGCAGCCAUGCCGCGUGAAUGAAGAAGGCCUUCGGGUUGUAAAGUUCUUUCGGUAGCGAGGCGUUAACUACAGAAGAAGCACCGGCUAACUCCGUGCCAGCCGCCGCGGUAAUAC
rnacentral:rRNA from 1 species